UUGUUUAUUCUAUCCAGAGCCUAGAACUGUGCCUGGCAAAUAGAGAGUCAAUAGAUAUUUGUUGAAUGAGUUAAUAACUUUCUUAAAAUCACCUCUCUUAUACCUGUACUGAGGUUUCAUCAGUCCAGCCACGUCAGACUAGAAACAAACGUGCCACAGUCCUAGGUGUUGGAGAAUCACAGAAUUGAAAGUCCUUAGAGAGAAGCUGCAGUAAGCUUGUAGAGUUUUAGAGUGUAAUUACAAAUUUCCAUUUGGCUAGGGAUACCACAUCAAUUAAUUUGAGUGUUAUUAAUACAGUACAUAUUAAUUUGUGAAUUUCAUAUGUGAGCAAAUCGGCUGGGACCUUCCUUUUCCAGAAGUGAUAUCCUGUAUUAGAGCACCCGCCACACCCGAGCUUUCAGUUCUACUCCUUUUUGGCAAAAGAUUGGCUUGGGAGACGCCUAGUCAAUCCCACCAGAUGGCGUCACUUGCUCUCUCGGCGUGCCUGACGGCUCCCUGGUAUUACGAAUCUGAUGGCUGUUGCUGGCUUGGAGGUCGUUUGGGAACAAGCUGAAAAGCUGCCCUGCCCGCUCGGGGCUGCCCGGCCCCUUGUGACUCCACCUUUUUGUGGUAACCACCCAGAAGUGGGGGCUGUUCCUUAUGGGAGAGCCAAGAUUUGUGUUUGAACCAAACAAACGAAUUGACUCUUCCUGGUCUACAAGGAGAGAGAAUGAAAUGAAUGUGGUGAUUUAGGAGGCUGGAGAGGAGCUCUAAGGCUGAUGUACUGAUAGGUGCUGGCUUUUGCAUGUCAGGGUUUUUCCAUCUCACUUAGCUAUUUGCUUAGCAUUCAGCUUUCUAUUGCAUUCCUGUGCAUCAGGGCAGUCACUCUGAGUAAGGGGAGGGAGAGGGGGCCACAUCGCUCGGGGCAUGGAGAAUUGCUGUCUGAUUGCACAGUUGUUCCUUUGGCUGGCGUGGAAGGAGAAAGAGAGCCUCGAGAACUAUUGGGCUGCGGUUUCGUGCCGGCGUUGCCUGCUUCCCGCCUAGGCCCGAGGCUGGUGGAUGUCCAGGACUGCUCCGUGGCAGCACUAGCGCAGCCGUCUUUAUAACAAGAGCUCCCGUCUGAAGGCCUCGUGGAGACACGGCUGGCGUGUCGGGCGCUUGCGCAGUUACAGCCGUGUAUCGAUCCAGCAGAGGGGCCUUGCCUUCUUUGCCUUCACUUCCUGGUGCCUGCAAGAAGAUCAGCAGUAGCCGGU
rnacentral:lncRNA from 1 species